rnacentral:rRNA from 1 species
UACGUAGGGGGCAAGCGUUGUCCGGAAUCAUUGGGCGUAAAGAGCGUGUAGGCGGCUCGAUAAGUCCGCUGUGAAAGUCCAGGGCUCAACCCUGGAAGGCCGGUGGAAACUGUCGGGCUAGAGUCCGGAAGAGGCGAGUGGAAUUCCCGGUGUAGCGGUGAAAUGCGCAGAUAUCGGGAGGAACACCAAUGGCGAAAGCGACUUCCUGGUCGAAAUACUGACGUUCAUGUGCGAAAAGCGUGGGGAGCAAACAGG